rnacentral:rRNA from 1 species
UACGAGGGAUCCUAGCGUUGUUCGGAAUCAUUGGGCGUAAAGGGUGUGUAGGCGGCCAUGUAAGUCAGUUGUGAAAGCCCCGGGCUCAACCCGGGAAGUGCUUCUGAUACUGCUUGGCUUGAGUAUUGGAUAGGUGAGUGGAAUUCCAGGUGUAGUGGUGAAAUACGUAGAUAUCUGGGGGAACACCGGCGGCGAAGGCGGCUCACUGGCCAUAUACUGACGCUGAAACACGAAAGCGUGGGUAGCAAACAGG